CAGAGUAUAGCUCAACACAGCUAAAGCGCCUCCCUUACACUGAGAAGAUACCUGUGCAAAUCGGGUUACCCUGA
rnacentral:tRNA from 2 species